CAGGACGGCCGGGUGAUCGCGCGGCGCCAUGUGCGCCUCGAGGAAAGUCCGGGCUCCGCAGAGCAGAACGGUGGCUAACGGCCACUCGGGGAGACCCGCAGGAAAGUGCCACAGAGAGCAGACCGCCCACGGCACGCCGUGCGGUGAGGGUGAAAGGGUGGUGUAAGAGACCACCAGCGCACCGGGCGACCGGUGCGGCUAGGCAAACCCCGUUCGGAGCAAGGUCAGACAGGGUGCAACAGGGCUGCUCGUCCUGCAUCCGGGUAGGCCGCUCGAGCCCAUCGGCAACGAUGGGCCUAGAUGGAUGAUCACCGCCGUGCCCCGGGCGACCGGGCACGUGCACAGAACCCGGCUCACAGGCCGUCCUGUCCC
rfam:Kocuria palustris PEL contig_17, whole genome shotgun sequence.